AGCAUUCUAUAGAGUUUUGGGGUAGUCUCUGGCCUCGUGACAAAUGUGACCAAGAGCUCCAUCGCCCCCAUCCAAUGUGCCAACAUCAACUUGGAGGAGAUUCUGGCAAACUUCCCGGCGACUACGACCCCCUUCCCCAUUAAGUACCUGGGGUUGCCCCUCUCCCUCGGAAGACUUAGGCAUGUGGACCUUCAACCCUACAUCGACAAGGCGGUGGCUCAUCUUAGCCCAUGGAAAGGAAAGUUCCUGAAUCGUGUCGGGUGCACUGCUCUGGUUAAGUCCAUGCUCUCCUCCAUGCCAAUCUUCUUGCUGGCCGCUUUAAAGGCUGACAAAGGCAUCCUCAAGGCCUUUGCGAAGAUCAGUUGCGGCAUGCUCUAG
rnacentral:rRNA from 1 species